GAAUACGUCUGGGUAGCUGGUUUGCCGUCUUCUAGAAAACGUGUUUCUAAAAUGGCUAUGGAAUCAGUUGAGAAGGAUAAACCUUCACGCAGGAAGACUCAAAGAGUUCAACUCAGCGUGGUCAAGUGUGGUUGGAGAUAGCGACAAACCUUUCACAUAUCAAAGUACCAAAGUUUAAAAAUGACUUGGAUCAACGUGCAGUUCGAGAGAGAUACAACCUUCUUUCAAGUAAGCUUCGAAGAAAGUUAAGCAGCGAGGAAAGAGCAUCUGGAAUAGACACCAAUAUGUCUGAAGUUGAGGGCAUGGUUGAAGAGCUGAUUCAGAUUGAAGAUGACUCUGCAGAA